rnacentral:SRP_RNA from 1 species
GUCGGGUGUGGUGGCUCAUGCCUGUAAUCCCAGCUACUUGGGAGGCUGAGGCAGGAGAAUCGCUUGAACCCAGGAGGCGGAGGCUGCAGUGGGCCGAGAUCGCACCACUGCACUCCAGCCUGGGUGACAGAGUGAGACUCCGCCUCAA